GGGGCCGUAAUGGCUUCGACGUGCUGGUGAACUCCAAACCGUGAUACAGGCCGAGGGUGAACUGCCCCUCGAAAAUAACCAGUUCAAAUGCGUAACUGCGAACAACAUCGUUCCUUUUGCUCGUAAAGCGGCCGUUGUGGCUGCCUAAGAGUCUAUAGACUAGACUUCGAGCCUCAGACUACGACGCCGUUAAGGAGUCUGAGCAACCCCAACGGCUGCACCACGACGUCUUCUGAGGACGGACUUGUGGUUAAGAUUAGUCCUCAGUCCCUCACUGGUCGGGGUUAUGCCAGUCCUCGUUGUUCAGGUCAGAGCAACUAAGCCUGUGAAUGAGCGCCAGGUCAAUACCCGGUACGGACAGCGGUUCGAUUCCGCUCGGCUCCAUAA
rnacentral:tmRNA from 1 species